rnacentral:rRNA from 1 species
CACGUAGUUAGCCGGAGCUUAUUCCUCAGGUACCGUCAAAUUCCUCCUUCUUCCCUGAUAAAAGAACUUUACAUUACGAAUAACUUCUUCGUUCACGCGGCGUUGCUCGGUCAGGGUUCCCCCCAUUGCCGAAAAUUCCCUACUGCUGCCUCCCGUAGGAGUAUGGACCGUUCUCAGUUCCAUUGUGGCCGUUCAACCUCUCAGUCCGGCUACGCAUCAUCGCCUUGGUAGGCCCUUACCCCACCAACUAGCUAAUGCGCCACAGGCCCCUCCUUAAGCAGAUCUCUCUUUUAAAUAUAAAAGAUUCUUCCUCUAUAUCCUAUCCAGUUUUAUCCAUCGUUUCCAAUGGCUAUCCUCGUCUUAAGGGUAGGUUACCUAUGUAUUACUCACCCGUUCGCCACUAAAGUACCCGAAGGUACUUCCGUUCGACUUGCAUGUAUUAGGCACGCCGCCAGCGUUAAUCCUGAGCCAGGAUCAAACUCU